CACACUGUGGACUCUCUUCUUUGUUUUCUCAGGAAGGCAAUAUGCACGUGGUGAAUUAUAGCAAAGAACAUCCAACAGCUUGUUUUGUCAUAUGAUCCAUAGGAAGUAAAGUAAGGAAGAAAAGAAGGAAGAUGGGAAUGGCGGAGCAGGAAGCCAAGGCUGGAAGGAGCAGCUGAAACAGCCAUGUGCAUGGUGUUUCAUUCGAGAAGCCACAGAUGUUCAGCAGGAACUCUCUGAGAGCCUCGUUCUCAUCAGCCCUGAAAUCUGCACAGGCCUCCCUCAGCGCGUCAUGUCUUGGCAGGCGCUGUGUGCAGGUGUGGACGGGUCAUGUCUCCAUCCCUGUGGAGCCGGGAGCAAAGCAGCGAGACCUCACUGGGCUGUCCAAACGCAGCCUAGCCACAGAUUCCUGUGCGUGGCACCAGGCAGCACCAAAGACACUUAGGAGGGGCUGAAGGAAGCUCCCUGCUGCGGUUCAGCUGGCAAAUUCCACACAGGAGAUUGGCAACAAAAUGGAGAGUCAGGUCAGGCUGGAGAGAGAACCUUCUGGUGACAUCAAGAUGACCAGGCAUCUGGGGAAAGAAGCAUGCUUGGCCAGACCAUGCCAAGAGUCUGAAAGUGUCAGAGGCCGAGUCAGCCUAUUCCUGAGAGAGAGCAGACACUCUCAGAAUGACCUGUGUGGCUAGACUGCUGGGGACGCAGGAAUCGUCUGACACCCCCAGAAACUCUAUUGACGUAAAGUCCUGGAAACGCAGUCAGCUUUCCUCUGAGAGGAGCCA